GCAGACGACUCACAGUUUGGCUCGUUCCACACCAGGAUGCGACGGCCCACGGUGUCCUGAAGUGGAAAGCUAGUGUAGCGGUUAAAGUUACGGAUAGUACCGUGGUUAAUGUAAAAGGAAAGAACGGGAUCAAAAAAAUUUUUCCCU
rnacentral:lncRNA from 1 species